rnacentral:lncRNA from 1 species
GUAGUCAAAAAGUUAAAAGGACAAAUGGUUACAGGAAAGUAAACAGUUCCAGGUGCAGGGGCUUUAAGACUAUUACAAGGUGAUAGACGCGGGGCUUCGGGCGUUAUCAUUCGGACAAAUUCCUGGGAACUGCGGAUCUAGCUCGCCACAGUAUCUUAUCAGUUAACUGCAUUCUUGGAUGUGCUGGGAGUCAGCUUGCACAAGUUAAGUCCUUGAGGAAGGGGCUGCCGGUGAAAGAGCCAAGAUGGAGUUUGUGUGACUCUCUCAGCUAAGGGAGAAGCAAGGCUAGGUGAAUAAAGGAAAAACAAGGUUGGGCAUUACACGGAGGUGGAGUGAUUGUGUAAAGCAGAGUGAGGUGGUGUUGCUGGAAGACAUGGAUGGAGGCAUGACACAGACUGUCCACUGCAAAAACCAUGGACGGAGGAGGCGUCACACAGACUGUCCACUGCAAAGACCACAGAUGGAGGCGUGACACAGACUGUCCACUGCAGAGACCAUGGACGGAGGCAGCCUCCGAGCCAGCCCAGCAGCCAUGGACGGAGGAGCCUUGGAGCCAGCCCAGCAGCUCUCCUCACUGGAGGGGUGGACGGGACAGGACCGGCUGCUCAUUCCACGCUGGAGGGAGGCCAGGAGUCUCAGCUGGAUGCAGUCACCUGACCUGGAGAGUUCAAAGUGCCUAACACAGGUGCUCACCCCUCUUCCCCCUCACCCCUGUCUGGACCUGGGACAUGGAGCCUUCCUCUAAGUCUGGUCUCCCCGCUCCUCCAGGAAGGUCCUGGAGGGGAUGGCCUGGGAUGGGCUAGGACCCGGUUCCCACCUCAGGAGGCCUCUGGCCAUGGAAGUGCUAAGGUGCCUAGUAUCCGUCUGUCCGGGUGACUCUGGCUUGGGGGUUGGGUGGCCUUGCCUGCGUCCAGCGACAUGGGGAGGUGUGUGUGGAAAACCAGAUGCCACCUCACUCACAUGGCGCGGGGCGGUGGCUGGGGGUUGGAGGUGAUGGCUACUGGUUCCUCCCCCACUGGGGACCAUUUCCAGGGAUGCUGCUACCCACAAGCCUGGAUCCUGGCGUGCUCCGCGGCUCUCCUUCAAGCCCUGGCCUCAUCAGACCUCCAAGGCUCCCUAGACAGGGUUAAUUAUUCACGUGGCCUGGGACCCAGGGUUCGUUUGUUUGUUUUUCCCGACACAGUAGGGUCCACGAGGAAGUCAGGAUCCACCGGCAAUAUUUGCAGUGUUAUGUUGAAUGUGGCAACUGGCUGCGUGAGGAUAGAGAAGUAAACAGCAUGUCCGGUGGCAGUCGGUUACCACACAGAAUUUAGGAGGCCCAGUGAAAUGCAAAUGCUAGGGACCCUAGUGCAGCAUGACUGGUGUCCUUUCAAAAAGGAGAAAUUUGGAUACAGACAUAGACACACACUGAGGGAAGGUGAAGUAAAGGGGCAAGGAGAAGACGGCCUGCAACGGGAGUGACGCCCUUACAAGCCGAGGGACGCCUGGCAGUGCCAGCUGACACCAGGAGCAGGGAGAGGCCAGGAAGCCUGGCAGUGCCAGCUGACACCAGGAGCAGGGAGAGGCCUGGAACGGUUCUCCCUGGAGACAUCCGGGACACACCUUGAUUUCAGGAUUCCAUGAUAGCUUCCAGAACUGCCAAAGAACGCAUUUCUGUGUUUUCAGCCACCCAGUCUGUGGUAUCUUGUGACUGCCGCCCUAGGAAAGUAAAACAAGGAGUUAAUUCAUGAAGGGUGGGGGAAAUACGUACCCUUUGAAAUACCACCUAGAGGAAGGGGUAAUAGUACACCCGAUCAUGUGCUCCAGUUUAUGAAAUAGUUGCACGUCACUCGGAAUUUUGAAAAACAAUAUAUUUUCAGGACUCAAAAGAUUUGCUUGCUAUGGACUUGUCUUGCAAAAUAAAGAAUCUCUUUGUAGACCACAUUCAUAGAUGUAUUUCAUGUAUGUUGACAUUGAUUUGGCUUGCUCAGAAAUAGGAAACGUGAGAACUUGAAUAUCAUGGCGUUUACAAAGCCAGUGAGGUCAGUUCCUCUCCUGGGCCUCAGGUGCAACCAUUGGCCGCCUGGCCUACCUCUGGAAAGCGUUUGGAGAGGGCGUGAGUUCUUGCACCCACCCUCUGGUUUUGCAAGCUCCCUCUGCCAUGGCUGGUGGAAGGCUGUGUUGGGGAGGUGGUGGAGUC